CAGGGAGUCUAGAGUCUCCUCAGGCAGAGCCAACUGCCAAGGCCAACGGUCAUGUAAUGGGAUGCUCACUGAUUUACUGUAAGAAUUCUAUCAGUGCCCACUAUGUGCCAGGGAGACAAAACAUGCACUUGAGACAGAGCUCACACCAAGAUAGAGGCUCAUCCAGUGGGCAAUGCAAGACAUGACUGAAAUGGAGAAUAAUGAAGCUGCUGUGCUAGAGAAGGUCAUUUGACCAGACUCAUUCAGGUUUAGAGACCAGGUACCUAGCAUACUGCUGCAGACAUGGUGGGAGCUUAUCUGAUACUUGUUGAACUGAAUUGGUUCAGUGACCAUAGGAUGUUAAAAUUGGAAAGAAACAAUAAAGUUCUGACCUUUCCCUUAAUGAGCUUUAAGAAUAAUGUGACACA